rnacentral:rRNA from 1 species
UGGGGAAUAUUGCGCAAUGGGCGAAAGCCUGACGCAGCGACGCCGCGUGAGGGAUGAAGGUUUUCGGAUCGUAAACCUCUGUCAGAAGGGAAGAAACCGCACUGUGCUAAUCAGCAGUGCCUUGACGGUACCUUCAAAGGAAGCACCGGCUAACUCCGUGCCAGCAGCCGCGGUAAUACGGAGGGUGCAAGCGUUAAUCGGAAUUACUGGGCGUAAAGCGCACGUAGGCUGCUUUGUAAGUCAGGGGUGAAAUCCCACGGCUCAACCGUGGAACUGCCUUUGAUACUGCUUAGCUUGAAUCCGGGAGAGUGUGGCGGAAUUCCAGGUGUAGGAGUGAAAUCCGUAGAUAUCUGGAGGAACAUCAGUGGCGAAGGCGGCCACCUGGACCGGUAUUGACGCUGAGGUGCGAAAGCGUGGGGAGCAAACAGG